GACGAACGCUGGCGGCGUGCUUAACACAUGCAAGUCGAACGGAAAGGCCCUGCUUUUGUGGGGUGCUCGAGUGGCGAACGGGUGAGUAACACGUGCGUAACCUGCCCUUGACUUUGGGAUAACUUCAGGAAACUGGGGCUAAUACCGGAUAGGAGCUCCUGCUGCAUGGUGGGGGUUGGAAAGUUUCGGCGGUUGGGGAUGGACUCGCGGCUUAUCAGCUUGUUGGUGGGGUAGUGGCUUACCAAGGCUUUGACGGGUAGCCGGCCUGCGAGGGUGACCGGCCACAUUGGGACUGAGAUACAGCUCAGACUCCUACGGGAGGCAGCAGUGGGGAAUAUUGCACAAUGGGCGGAAGCCUGAUGCAGCAACGCCGCGUGCGGGAGGACGGCCUUCGGGUUGUAAACCGCUUUCGCCUGUGACGAAGCGUGAGUGACGGUAAUGGGUAAAGAAGCACCGGCUAACUACGUG
rnacentral:rRNA from 1 species